rnacentral:rRNA from 1 species
CCUACGGGAGGCAGCAGUGAGGAAUAUUGGUCAAUGGACGAAAGUCUGAACCAGCCAAGUCGCGUGAAGGAUGACGGCUCUAUGGUUUGUAAACUUCUUUUAUAUGGGAAUAAAGUGUUCCACGUGUGGGUUUUUGUAUGUACCAUAUGAAUAAGCAUCGGCUAACUCCGUGCCAGCAGCCGCGGUAAUACGGAGGAUCCGAGCGUUAUCAGGAUUUAUUGGGUUUAACGGGAGCGUAGGUUGAUUUUUGAGUCAGUUGUGAAAGUUUGCGGCUCAACCGUAAAAGUGCCGUUGAAACUGGCAGUCUUGAGUACAGUAGAGGUGGGCGGAAUGCGGGGUGUAGCGGUGAAAUGCGUAGAUAUCACGAAGAACUCCGAUGGCGAAGGCAGUUUGCUGGACUGCAACUGACACUGAGGCGCGAAAGCGUGGGGAGCAAACAGGAUUAGAUACCCCUGUAGUC